rnacentral:rRNA from 1 species
CCAAGUCUCCGUUGGUGAACCAGCGGAGGGAUCAUUACCGAGUUUACAACUCCCAAACCCAAUGUGAACGUUACCAAACUGUUGCCUCGGCGGGAUCUCUGCCCCGGGUGCGUCGCAGCCCCGGACCAAGGCGCCCGCCGGAGGACCAACCAAAACUCUUAUUGUAUACCCCCUCGCGGGUUUUUUUAUAAUCUGAGCCUUCUCGGCGCCCCUCGUGGGCGUUUCGAAAAUGAAUCAAAACUUUCAACAACGGAUCUCUUGGUUCUGGCAUCGAUGAAGAACGCAGCGAAAUGCGAUAAGUAAUGUGAAUUGCAGAAUUCAGUGAAUCAUCGAAUCUUUGAACGCACAUUGCGCCCGCCAGUAUUCUGGCGGGCAUGCCUGUCCGAGCGUCAUUUCAACCCUCGAACCCCUCCGGGGGGUCGGCGUUGGGGAUCGGCCCUCCCUCUGCGGGGGCCGUCUCCGAAAUACAGUGGCGGUCUCGCCGCAGCCUCUCCUGCGCAGUAGUUUGCACACUCGCACCGGGAGCGCGGCGCGUCCACAGCCGUUAAACACCCAACUUUCUGAAAUGUUGACCUCGGAUCAGGUAGGAAUACCCGCUGAAUUAAGCU